AGAGUUUGAUCCUGGCUCAGGAUGAACGCUAGCGAUAGGCUUAACACAUGCAAGUCGAGGGGCAGCAUGGUCUUAGCUUGCUAAGACUGAUGGCGACCGGCGCACGGGUGCGUAACGCGUAUGCAACUUGCCUCACAGAGGGGGAUAACCCGUCGAAAGACGGACUAAUACCGCGUACACUCCAUCUUGGGCAUCCAAGGUAGAGGAAAAGAAAUUCGCUGUGAGAUAGGCAUGCGUCCCAUUAGCUAGUUGGUGAGGUAACGGCUCACCAAGGCGACGAUGGGUAGGGGAACUGAGAGGUUGAACCCCCACACUGGUACUGAGACACGGACCAGACUCCUACGGGAGGCAGCAGUGAGGAAUAUUGGUCAAUGGGCGAGAGCCUGAACCAGCCAAGUCGCGUGAAGGAUGACUGUCUUAUGGAUUGUAAACUUCUUUUAUACGGGAAUAACAAGAGUCACGUGUGGCUCCCUGCAUGUACCGUAUGAAUAAGCAUCGGCUAACUCCGUGCCAGCAGCCGCGGUAAUACGGAGGAUGCGAGCGUUAUCCGGAUUUAUUGGGUUUAAAGGGUGCGUAGGCGGCCUGUUAAGUCAGCGGUGAAAUCUAGGAGCUUAACUCCUAAAUUGCCAUUGAUACUGGCGGGCUUGAGUGUAGAUGAGGUAGGCGGAAUGCGUGGUGUAGCGGUGGAAUGCAUAGAUAUCACGCAGAACUCCGAUUGCGAAGGCAGCUUACUAAGGUACAACUGACGCUGAAGCACGAAAGCGUGGGUAUCAAACAGGAUUAGAUACCCUGGUAGUCCACGCAGUAAACGAUGAUAACUGGGCGUAUGCGAUAUACAGUAUGCUCCUAAGCGAAAGCGUUAAGUUAUCCACCUGGGGAGUACGCCGGCAACGGUGAAACUCAAAGGAAUUGACGGGGGCCCG
rnacentral:rRNA from 1 species